GAGUUUGAUCAUGGCUCAGAUUGAACGCUGGCGGCAGGCCUAACACAUGCAAGUCGAGCGGUAGAGAGAAGCUUGCUUCUCUUGAGAGCGGCGGACGGGUGAGUAAUGCCUAGGAAUCUGCCUGGUAGUGGGGGAUAACGCUCGGAAACGGACGCUAAUACCGCAUACGUCCUACGGGAGAAAGCAGGGGACCUUCGGGCCUUGCGCUAUCAGAUGAGCCUAGGUCGGAUUAGCUAGUUGGUGAGGUAAUGGCUCACCAAGGCGACGAUCCGUGACUGGUCUGAGAGGAUGAUCAGUCACACUGGAACUGAGACACGGUCCAGACUCCUACGGGAGGCAGCAGUGGGGAAUAUUGGACAAUGGGCGAAAGCCUGAUCCAGCCAUGCCGCGUGUGUGAAGAAGGUCUUCGGAUUGUAAAGCACCUUAAGUUGGGAGGAAGGGCAGUAAAUUAAUACUUUGCUGUUUUGACGUUACCGACAGAAUAAGCACCGGCUAACUCUGU
rnacentral:rRNA from 1 species